GGCACGCCUAAUACAUGCAAGUCGAACGAAGUAGCAAUACUUAGUGGCAGACGGGUGAGUAACAUGUAGGUAUCUACCCUUUGGCCUGGAAUAACACGAGGAAACUUGUGCUAAUACCGGAUAAGUCUUUACGGAGAAAGCUUUAUGCACCAUUGGAUGAGCCUGCACUUGAUUAGUUUGUUGGUGGGGUAAUGGCCUACCAAGACAAUGAUCAAUAGCUGAUUUGAGAGGAUGAUCAGCCACAUUGGGACUGAGACACGGCCCAAACUCCUACGGGAGGCAGCAGUAGGGAAUCUUGCACAAUGGAGGAAACUCUGAUGCAGCGAUGCCGCGUGAGUGAAGAAGGCCUUUGGGUUGUAAAGCUCUUUCGUCGGGGAAGAAAAUGACUGUACCCGAAUAAGAAGGUCCGGCUAACUUCGUGCCAGCAGCCGCGGUAAUACGAAGGGACCUAGCGUAGUUCGGAAUUACUGGGCUUAAAGAGUUCGUAGGUGGUUAAAAAAGUUGGUGGUGAAAUCCCAGAGCUUAACUCUGGAACUGCCAUCAAAACUUUUUAGCUAGAGUAUGAUAGAGGAAAGCAGAAUUUCUAGUGUAGAGGUGAAAUUCGUAGAUAUUAGAAAGAAUACCGAUUGCGAAGGCAGCUUUCUGGAUCAUUACUGACACUGAGGAACGAAAGCAUGGGUAGCGAAGAGGAUUAGAUACCCUCGUAGUCCAUGCCGUAAACGAUGUGUGUUAGACGUUGGAAAUUUAUUUUCAGUGUCGCAGUGAAAGCGAUAAACACACCGCCUGGGG
rnacentral:rRNA from 1 species